rnacentral:rRNA from 1 species
UACGGAGGGUGCAAGCGUUAUCCGGAUUCACUGGGUUUAAAGGGUGCGUAGGAGGGCAGGUAAGUCAGUGGUGAAAUCUCCGGGCUUAACUCGGAAACUGCCGUUGAUACUAUCUGUCUUGAAUACCGUGGAGAUGAGCGGAAUAUGUCAUGUAGCGGUGAAAUGCUUAGAUAUCGUCAAGAACACCUAUUGCGAAGGCAGCUCACUAAGCUUUAACUGACACUGAGGCACGAAAGUGUGGGGAUCAAACAGG